UUCUGACACAUUUAACGCCUGGAUUUCUCGUGAUCCCAUUGGCUGCACGGUAUGGCCAUUUGGAUUUUUUUUUGACGGUGUUUCUUCAGGGACACGCCCUGCAGGCGUUUUCCGCUUUGCACAGGAAGAGGCAGGAUGAGGGGAUGAUGCAAGGCUAGGGGCGGGUCGGCUUGGCUGCUACCCGGAAGGCCGCCGGCCGCGUGACGGAGCGAGAAGCUUUAUACCGCCUAAUUUUGGCUCAGGCGCCAUGUGGAGGAAACAACAAAUCCACCUUAAAGUCAUUUGCUUACUUCUAUAUGUUGUGCAAAUGGUACCGGACCCCUGCCCCAGCCAAUGUCAACAGGAAAUCUCUAUCUCUGUGCCUGAGGGUGGUGACAUGCAACACCCCCUUAACAUCUCGGAGCGCUUUGCCAUGCUGUACUGGUCCCCCGCUUUGGCUGGGACAUGGAUGAAGAUAGCUGUCAUCCAUUCAGGGAAAUCAAACCCUUACAACAGCUCCUUCGCCAGGCACAUCUCCGUGUCCAAGGGACGGUUCAUUGUGACGAACGCCAGCAAAGCCAUUGCAGGGAAUUUGAAGAUUGUGCAUGAGAUGGAUGAAAGGGAGUGUCUGGCUUCCAUCCGUCUGAAUGUAGCAGCAGCCUAUGGGGGCCACGACCCUGAACACAUUUGAUGUAGCUGGGAAAAAGGAGGGAGAGGAGCGAGAACACUGCUUCCCCCAGAGGGGAUUCCACAUUUCUUACGCGGCUGCGAUGCUUAUCCGUAACAAGCAAAAAGGAAGGGACGGGAUGGCCACUCUGUCAAGCAAAAGAAGUAGUGCUCGCCCGUGCCCUACGCCCUAUUACCACGGUAGUGGUCACCCAGGUCUUUACUCAACCCUUACGUACCGCAACGGUUACCGGACUGUCGCAGCUCGAGUCAAUCUAAUGGCCAGUUAGACUGAACACGAGUGCGGAGCUGGGCUCUGUCCGUCGCGAAGCCGACGCUCCGAGGCUUUGCAGGACUGAACCCAGAGUCCCAGGGCAGAACACCCCAGCUUUAUACUUAGCCCGCGCCAACCUCAGCUCCGGCCUCCCUGGCCAGGGACGAUCGCCUCAACAGGACGGCAGCGGGGGAGCCGGGAUCUCAGCCCAGCUAUAUUGUAGCGGUGGUGGUGGGGACAAUGGUGGCCUUACUGGUGUUGGUGUUGGCACUGGGGCUAUGGCAGAGAAAUAAUAUUGCUCGCCACAUACGCUGGUUCAGCAGCCAUCUUGGCUUCCCUGCCAGAGCCACCCCGUUCCAACAGGCUGGCGACACAGGCCCCAUGCAGGAGCUGAUGCAGACGGAGGACGCCAGCGGUGGGGACCGGUCGGCUGUGCCGAAUGGGGAACUUCUCGGCAGCGCUGAAAUGCUAUAUGCUGGGGGACUGGAGAGUGAUGAACCGCCCCCCCUCCAAUCCUUCAACAUCCGGUCAAUGUGCAGCGGCAGUCAAAAAAGCGAUCAGAGUGUUGGGCCUCAUAAAGAAAGGGACAGAAAAUACGACAGAAAAUAUCAUGUUGCCACUACAUAAAGCCUUGGCACCCCCACGUCAUGAAUACUGGGUGCAGAUGCGGUCGCCCCAUCUCAAAAAAGAUGCAUUGUAACUGGAAAAGGUACAGCUGUAGAGCUGUAGAAUGAAAUUGUUUCUUUUUACUUCGAUUGAAGUACUAUUAUUAUGAAGCCUUUACUAAUAUGCCUUUAUUUUUGUAUCAAAUGAACACCCAGAACUUCAUUUUCCAGGCCCUGAAAAAGACCCCAAACGACAGGUGGCUGGAAAUGUUGCCUGGUGAUUUGCACUGGGGUUAAUCAGCGUCCGCUUCCAUCCGCGCAGCCCCAAACUGUCCCUUCUGGCUGGGGGCACAGCUCCCGGUGUUGCCGGCCCAGAGGGCCCGAGGGGGCAACAGU